AAAUAGCCCCCUAUGUUUUGAUUCUUUGGCAGUUUUGGACCUCCAAGGCAAAAAAAAAAAUAAAAAAUUUGACAUGUGGCACCUCACUUAGGGUGCCACGUCAGCGUUGACCGAGUCAACAAUGGAUUGGGGGUCCAAAACUGCCAAAGAAUCAAAACAUAGGGGGCUGUUU
rfam:Medicago truncatula strain A17 chromosome 1, whole genome shotgun sequence.